rnacentral:pre_miRNA from 1 species
UGGAGCAACAACCGCAGUGGCAGGGCCAGCUCUGGAGCCCUGGAGUCAGUCCCUGCAGUAGCUCCAGAGCUCUCCGUCUGCAGGGCCUGGAGGCUCUGGGCGGGG